UACAGAGGUCUCAAGCGUUGUUCGGAUUCAUUGGGCGUAAAGGGUGCGUAGGCGGCGCGGUAAGUCGGGUGUGAAAUCUUGGAGCUUAACUCCGAAACUGCAUUCGAUACUGCCGUGCUUGAGGACUGGAGAGGAGACUGGAAUUUACGGUGUAGCGGUGAAAUGCGUAGAUAUCAGGAGGAACACCGGUGGCGAAGGCGGGUCUCUGGGCCGUAACUGACGCUGAGGAGCGAAAGCGUGGGGAGCGAACAGG
rnacentral:rRNA from 1 species